rnacentral:lncRNA from 1 species
AAUUUUGUCUAGCAUGACAUUUCUAUCAGGUUUUUAAUUCCAAUAGAUUUCUCUACUUUCUGUUCUUUUAAACAGAAUUGUCAAAACAAAAGAAGACGUGUAUUAGUAAGACAGUAACAUGUCACUGUUUACAAUUCUGUAUCUAUAGCACAUGUACAUCAUGGUGAGAAUAAAAACUUUUUGGCCUCCCAUUGUAUAUGGGGAAAAAAUGUGGCACUAAAGAUGGAUAGUCACAUUCCAAUAAAAAUCUAUUCUUUAAUUUAUCCAAAGAUGGAUAAGUUAAAGAAUUAAGAAUACACAGUUUCCUUGCCAGAAGAUUGGAAUGUUGCUUCCAAAAAUACAUAGUUUCCUUGCCAGAAGAAUUGGAUGUUGCUUCCUUUUCUGAAUGAAAUACUUAUGGCUUUGGAUUUUCAGAAAUUAUAUCCUUUGUUAAGACUGCUGCUAGUGUAUCUAGCCUUUUGCAGAUUUUCUAUUGGAAAAUAUUCCCAACAGCAACCAGAUUACCUCUGUUCUAAAAAUUGUAGCUCACUUGGUCUGUUACAAAUCCUAUUUUGUCUUCAAAGGCCAAUAUUGUAAGAAGAUUAAAUAAUUUCCUAUAGAUAAUCCAAUGGCAGGCAUACUUGAUGAGAUUCUCUGCCAUUCUGUGAAGUCAGUUACUUUAGAUAAAUACUUCCCGUAAAUGAUAAAAUACAGAUUAUCCUUGAUUUAUGAUUUUCCAAUCUUAUAAUAACUUGUGUGAUAUUCCAAACUUGGCUAUUUCCAUAGUGUAUUGGCUAGAAAUACUUUUUUGUUUAUUAAAAAUGUAGUAAAACAAU